UCCCCGUUUUCCGGGGCAGUCUCUGUAGAGUUCCCGGCAUGACCCGUUGGCAACUACAGACGAGGGUUGCGCUCGUUGCGGGACUUAACCCAACAUCUCACGACGCGAGCUGACGACAGCCAUGCAGCACCUGUACAAGUUCGCCUUGCGGCACCCCGACUUUCAUCGGGAUUAACUUGCGCUUCAAGCCUAGGUAAGGUUCUUCGCGUUGCGUCGAAUUAAACCACAUGCUCCACUGCUUGUGCGGGCCCCCGUCAAUUCCUUUGAGUUUCAACCUUGCGAUUGUACUUCCCAGGUGGAAUACUUAAUGCGUUAGCUUGGAUACUGAUUUUAUAAAAAACCAACAUCUAGUAUUCAUCGUUUAGGGUGUGGACUAC
rnacentral:misc_RNA from 1 species